rnacentral:tRNA from 1 species
GGGCCCGUGGUGGAAUCGGCAGACACGCAGGAUUUAGGUUCCUGUGCCUCGCGGCGUGAGGGUUCGACCCCCUCCGGGCCCA